rnacentral:rRNA from 1 species
GGUGAGUAACACGUGAGAAUCUGCCCUUAGGAGGAGGAUAACAGCUGGAAACGGUUGCUAAUACUCCAUAUGCCGAGAGGUGAAAGGAUUUAUCUACCUAAGGAGGAGCUCGCGUCUGAUUAGCUAGUUGGUAGGGUAAUGGCCUACCAAGGCGACGAUCAGUAGCUGGUUUGAGAGGAUGAUCAGCCACACUGGGACUGAGACACGGCCCAGACUCCUACGGGAGGCAGCAGUAGGGAAUUUUCCGCAAUGGGCGAAAGCCUGACGGAGCAAUACCGCGUGAGGGAUGACGGCCUGUGGGUUGUAAACCUCUUUUCUCAAGGAAGAAGUUCUGACGGUACUUGAGGAAUAAGCAUCGGCUAACUCUGUGCCAGCAGCCGCGGUAAUACAGAGGAUGCAAGCGUUAUCCGGAAUCACUGGGCAUAAAGCGUCUGUAGGUGGUUUGGUAAGUCUGCUGUUAAAGACUGGGGCUCAACCCCAGAAAAGCAGUGGAAACUGCUAGACUUGAGUGUGGUAGAGGUAGAGGAAAUUCCUAGUGUAGCGGUGAAAUGCGUAGAUAUUAGGAAGAACACCAAUGGCGAAGGCACUCUACUGGACCAUAACUGACACUGAGAGACGACAGCUAGGGGAGCAAAUGGGAUUAGAUACCCCAGUAGUCCUAGCCGUAAACGAUGGAUACUAGAUGUUGCACGUAUUAACCCGUGCAGUAUCGUAGCUAAGGCGUUAAGUAUCCCGCCUGGGAAGUACGCUCGCAAGAGUGAAACUCAAAGGAAUUGACGG